rnacentral:lncRNA from 1 species
UAAAUAUGAAGUCAGCGUAUGAAAAGAGCAGGUUGCAGAACAUCUCCUCAAAUUUUACUUUUCCUGCUUUGACAAGCUACAAAUUUGAGAAAAUGAGGGCUUGGUGUCUGACAUUUGUGUCAGGUACAAUUCUUACCUCAAACGCUUCAACAGAAUCUCCAAAUGGUAACACGACAACAACAGAUCUUCUGAGUAAUUCAGCACAGAUGGAGAAUUACAAUUAUUAUUAUUAUUAUUAUUACGAUUAUUAUUCUCUGGGUGAUGCUGAAUAUGAUGCCACAAACCAAACAAAUAACCUGACAAAACAAGAAAAAUUCUGUAAUCAAGAAUCUUGGAAAAAUUUAACUUUCCCACGCACC